UACGAAGGGGGCUAGCGUUGUUCGGAAUUACUGGGCGUAAAGGGCGCGUAGGCGGUGUGUCAAGUCAGGCGUGAAAGCCCCGGGCUCAACCUGGGAACCGCGCUUGAGACUGGCACGCUAGAGUUCGGGAGAGGAUGGUGGAAUUCCCAGUGUAGAGGUGAAAUUCGUAGAUAUUGGGAAGAACACCGAUGGCGAAGGCAGCUCUCUGGGACGGUACUGACGCUGAGACGCGAAAGCGUGGGGAGCGAACAGG
rnacentral:rRNA from 1 species